GACGAACGCUGGCGGCGUGCCUAAUACAUGCAAGUAGAACGCACAGUUUAUACCGUAGCUUGCUACACCAUAGACUGUGAGUUGCGAACGGGUGAGUAACGCGUAGGUAACCUGCCUGGUAGCGGGGGAUAACUAUUGGAAACGAUAGCUAAUACCGCAUAAUAUUAAUUAUUGCAUGAUAAUUAAUUGAAAGGUGCAAUUGCACCACUACCAGAUGGACCUGCGUUGUAUUAGGUAGUAGGUGAGGUAACGGCUCACCUAGGCGACGAUACAUGGCCGACCUGAGAGGGUGAUCGGCCACACUGGGACUGAGACACGGCCCAGACUCCUACGGGAGGCAGCAGUAGGGAAUCUUCGGCAAUGGACGAAAGUCUGACCGAGCAACGCCGCGUGAGUGAAGAAGGUUUUCGGAUCGUAAAGCUCUGUUGUAAGAGAAGAACGGGUGUGAGAGUGGAAAGUUCACACUGUGACGGUAUCUUACCAGAAAGGGACGGCUAACUACGUGCCAGCAGCCGCCGUAAGAC
rnacentral:rRNA from 1 species